CGGCUUUUAGGGGUGGCUGGUUUUUUUCUUUGCUUGGCUCUACUGAAUGCAACUGCUCGAUUCCAAUACAUGUCCCAAUUCAUUAGAUAAAGUCUGUUGGUUCUCUUUCUGUAUUUGGCUACCUAGUACUUCAGAAAGGACAAGAAUUGUGAAAACAAAAGGCUAACAUGUGAUCCUGUUCUUUUGAUGUGGACUGUAGCUGCACUUGUAUCUCACUAUUUGAGGUUCACAAGGAUUGACCUUUGAGUAUGUGUCCAGUUAGUUCCCUUGGUUUCUUGCACAGAGAAGAACAGUUGUUGUAAACUUCUGCACUUUUGC